rnacentral:sRNA from 1 species
GACGCGUCUAGUGGGCGGGAGACGCCAGC